AGCGAAGAACGAUACGCAUCGUGUAGGUGAUAUUUUUGAGGGAUCUGUACGUAGAAAGGAUGAGCGGCCGUCGGACGACGUCGCUUUCAGCUAGCGCCACUCCGUCUAGCCCCACGUCUACGCUCUGUCAACUUUGUUUUAUAUUUAAUCCGGGCCGCUUUAGCAAACAGUAAACAAACACUGUAUCGCAUAAGCGCCGCUCGAAUUAGCCUCGAUACCAUUUCAAACGGCCGACUCGCAUUUAUGAAGAUGACCGGGGAUGCUGGCCCACCCGAGAGAAUUUCACGUACUUACUUACAUAUAUACGUAGAAAGCCAGUGAACGGAACGUGAACGGCGCGGGUGGGGGAAGAAGAGUGCCGAAAGCGCCACGGGCCACGGUGUGGUGGUGGUGGCGGUGAUGGUGGUGGUGGAGAGCGACGGUAGAAUAGCGAGACGGAGUAGCGGUGGUAGGGGUAAGAUAGUAGUGGGGCGAGCCGCCAGAGGGAACUGGUGGGGACACGGCUGACGUCACGGAAUGCCGUGGUACCGCCUACCCGCAUGCAAUGGGCGGGAGUCUGCCGACGAUUUACGACCGUCGAUCACGGCGACAUCUAGUAGCGGCGCCACGAACUCAACCUGCCUCACCGGUGGCCAUUACGAUCCCACGAUUGGCUGAGUACACGGUACAACGCGAAUCAGGCGACGGUUUAAAUAUGGAUUUUUUUUCUUGGCCACGAAAUCGCGGCGACCGUGUCGUAUAAAUCAGGAUUGAUUUUCAAAGGGAAUCAUGGGAGGUCGAGCAGCAGCCGCGAUGUCCCUUUUAGCCCCGCAUUUGUUUCCGGCGGUAAAUCUAUAUUUGGCUAAUCGAAUCGACACAACUACACACCGCGCCGUUUCCGCUGCUUUUUCGGAAGCCGCGACCAAAAGAUCGCCGUUUCGACUUUUCACGCUUUCUGUCUUGCGUUAGUCAACAAACUUUUUCAACGUUACGUCGAGUUACGACAGUUCACUGACCUCACCUUUGUCGUUGGUGUUAUAAAAUCUCUUUUGAUUCAUUUCUGGUUAUAAUCGAUUGUGAGACAAUUAAGAUUACUUUGGUAUUUGGCAAAGUUUUGUUAAAGUGUAGGAUUAACGAAAGGAGUUUAACGAAGACAGAAACAUUAGGAACUGUAGUUGUGAAUAUUUUCAACUUGAAUGCCUGAGAUUAUUCUUUAUGUGUAAUCCCGAGGAACGUGUAAUCCCUACGGAAUCGGUAACUGAGCCGCUCUUACGGUCGAUGCACAAACUAGAUCGACGAUACUUAAACGGUAAAGCAUCCUAAUCCUCGUGAAAUGCACAGAGACUAAUGAUCACAUGCCUGCAGUGUGCAUCACAAUAAACUGGAUAUGGACAAGUAAUGUCUUCGUUGACAGCUUUUCGCUAAAUGUUCUUAGCAGUUCUUUAAGGUAUAUAUACGUAUCAUAAAUCAACAGCAAAUUUAAAUUGACUACUUUAAAACGUUUGCCGUAAUAAUCGAUUCUUUCUUUUAAAUGUUUACAUAAAAUUCGUCCAUGUAUUUUACGAUGAUUUACAUGCCUAUUUCCUAAUUGCAUAAGAAGUUAUUAUUCCAACGUUUAGAGAUAAUACAAUGUCAGCAAUAAGUGAGAACACAA